GGGGUAUGUUUGUUUGUUAAUGUCUUUGUGAACAUUUAAAUAGUCUUUCCAUUUGUAACAUCCCCUAAAUAAGGCAACCAGAGGAAGCCUGCCUUGCAUUAGCACACCUGCUGGGCUUAAACAGGAACAGUAUUUCCCCAAAUGGGACACCUCAUUUGCCAAACAGGCUCGAACUUAAAAUUGCCUGCGUCUUUGGAUUGCUACACUCGGUUUUCAUCAACUUGCAUGUAACUCGAUUUUCUACUCUCUCUCUCUCUUCAUUCCUGGGUUGGACAGGAAAGGAAAAAGCAAAGAAACCGAAAUGGGAAGAAAUAUGCAGACACUUAUACCAUAUUGAAAAAAAAGUUUGCCCUUACAAAUGACAUUAGUGAAUUCUAAGAAAGCAAGAUUUCUCCACAAAAAAAGGACCCACCCCCUCUUCAUGGUACAAGUGAAAGAAGAAGAAAAUACCAAAAACACCCAGGAUCACAGCUAAUUUGUCCCAAAAGGAACCUAGGGGAAGCAGCAUAUUCCCAGAAGUACUUAAAACCUGUGGUUCAUUCUCAGAAGCCACAUCAGGAUUGCCAG
ensembl:lncRNA